UACGAAGGGGGCUAGCGUUGCUCGGAAUCACUGGGCGUAAAGGGUGCGUAGGCGGGUCUUAAGUCAGGGGUGAAAUCCUGGAGCUCAACUCCAGAACUGCCUUUGAUACUGAAGAUCUUGAGUUCGGGAGAGGUGAGUGGAACUGCGAGUGUAGAGGUGAAAUUCGUAGAUAUUCGCAAGAACACCAGUGGCGAAGGCGGCUCACUGGCCCGAUACUGACGCUGAGGUGCGAAAGCGUGGGGAGCAAACAGG
rnacentral:rRNA from 1 species